rnacentral:rRNA from 1 species
GAUGAACGCUGGCGGCGUGCCUAAUACAUGCAAGUCGAGCGAACGGACGAGAAGCUUGCUUCUCUGAUGUUAGCGGCGGACGGGUGAGUAACACGUGGAUAACCUACCUAUAAGACUGGGAUAACUUCGGGAAACCGGAGCUAAUACCGGAUAAUAUUUUGAACCGCAUGGUUCAAAAGUGAAAGACGGUCUUGCUGUCACUUAUAGAUGGAUCCGCGCUGCAUUAGCUAGUUGGUAAGGUAACGGCUUACCAAGGCAACGAUGCAUAGCCGACCUGAGAGGGUGAUCGGCCACACUGGAACUGAGACACGGUCCAGACUCCUACGGGAGGCAGCAGUAGGGAACCUUCCGCAAUGGGCGAAAGCCUGACGGAGCAACGCCGCGUGAGUGAUGAAGGUCUUCGGAUCGUAAAACUCUGUUAUUAGGGAAGAACAUAUGUGUAAGUAACUGUGCACAUCUUGACGGUACCUAAUCAGAAAGCCACGGCUAACUACGUGCCAGCAGCCGCAGUAAUACGUAGGUGGCAAGCGUUAUCCGGAAUUAUUGGGCGUAAAGCGCGCGUAGGCGGUUUUUUAAGUCUGAUGUGAAAGCCCACGGCUCAACCGUGGAGGGUCAUUGGAAACUGGAAAACUUGAGUGCAGAAGAGGAAAGUGGAAUUCCAUGUGUAGCGGUGAAAUGCGCAGAGAUAUGGAGGAACACCAGUGGCGAAGGCGACUUUCUGGUCUGUAACUGACGCUGAUGUGCGAAAGCGUGGGGAUCAAACAGGAUUAGAUACCCUGGUAGUCCACGCCGUAAACGAUGAGUGCUAAGUGUUAGGGGGUUUCCGCCCCUUAGUGCUGCAGCUAACGCAUUAAGCACUCCGCCUGGGGAGUACGACCGCAAGGUUGAAACUCAAAGGAAUUGACGGGGACCCGCACAAGCGGUGGAGCAUGUGGUUUAAUUCGAAGCAACGCGAAGAACCUUACCAAAUCUUGACAUCCUUUGACAACUCUAGAGAUAGAGCUUUCCCCUUCGGGGGACAAAGUGACAGGUGGUGCAUGGUUGUCGUCAGCUCGUGUCGUGAGAUGUUGGGUUAAGUCCCGCAACGAGCGCAACCCUUAAGCUUAGUUGCCAUCAUUAAGUUGGGCACUCUAAGUUGACUGCCGGUGACAAACCGGAGGAAGGUGGGGAUGACGUCAAAUCAUCAUGCCCCUUAUGAUUUGGGCUACACACGUGCUACAAUGGACAAUACAAAGGGCAGCGAAACCGUGAGGUCAAGCAAAUCCCAUAAAGUUGUUCUCAGUUCGGAUUGUAGUCUGCAACUCGACUACAUGAAGCUGGAAUCGCUAGUAAUCGUAGAUCAGCAUGCUACGGUGAAUACGUUCCCGGGUCU